rnacentral:rRNA from 1 species
CCUACGGGAGGCUGCAGUGAGGAAUAUUGGUCAAUGGACGAGAGUCUGAACCAGCCAAGUAGCGUGAAGGAUGACUGCCCUAUGGGUUGUAAACUUCUUUUAUAAAGGAAUAAAACGAGGCACGUGUGCCUUUUUGUAUGUACUUUAUGAAUAAGGAUCGGCUAACUCCGUGCCAGCAGCCGCGGUAAUACGGAGGAUCCGAGCGUUAUCCGGAUUUAUUGGGUUUAAAGGGAGCGUAGAUGGGUUGUUAAGUCAGUUGUGAAAGUUUGCGGCUCAACCGUAAAAUUGCAAUUGAUACUGGCAGUCUUGAGUGCAGUUGAGGUAGGCGGAAUUCGUGGUGUAGCGGUGAAAUGCGUAGAUAUCACGAAGAACCCCGAUUGCGAAGGCAGCUUACUAAACUGUGACUGACAUUGAUGCUCGAAAGUGUGGGUAUCAAACAGGAUUAGAUACCCUAGUAGUC